rnacentral:rRNA from 1 species
GGAUACGAUCAUACCAGCAUUAAAACACCGGAUCCUAUCAGAACUUUGCAGUUAAACAUGCUUGGACGAGAGUAGUAUUGACAUAGAUGACUUUCUUGGAAGUCCUCAUGUUGCACCCC